rnacentral:rRNA from 1 species
AUUGAACGCUGGCGGCAUGCCUUACACAUGCAAGUCGAACGGCAGCGGACCUUCGGGUGCCGGCGAGUGGCGAACGGGUGAGUAAUAUAUCGGAACGUACCUUUCAGUGGGGGAUAACGUAGCGAAAGUUACGCUAAUACCGCAUAUUCUAUGAGCAGGAAAGCAGGGGAUCGCAAGACCUUGCGCUGAUUGAGCGGCCGAUAUCAGAUUAGCUAGUUGGUGAGGUAAAGGCUCACCAAGGCGACGAUCUGUAGCGGGUCUGAGAGGAUGAUCCGCCACACUGGAACUGAGACACGGUCCAGACUCCUACGGGAGGCAGCAGUGGGGAAUUUUGGACAAUGGGCGCAAGCCUGAUCCAGCCAUGCCGCGUGAGUGAAGAAGGCCU